AUUUUUUCUCUUCUUUUCAAAUCUAGAAGCACGUAUGCUUUUCAAUUUCAAUUUCUCUUCUUUUCUAACUUUUCACUGGUACAAGCAAAGAUUUUUUCUCUUCUUUUCAAAUCUAGAAGCACGUAUGGAUAAACACCACAAUUUUCCACCUUUUUCCCUUCCCCUCAAGACAGAACAAUUUUUGCAAUUCUUCCUUCUCUUUUCUUAUUAUUAUAAGCUGGUUUUUUUCCAUGGAUCUACUUCUUUUGUUUGUGGUUCGCAAAGUUUUUAAGAGAUGAGUUUUUGAUUUUUGUCUGCUUUUUCUAUUUCCAUUUGUUCAUGUUGAUGGGUUUUUCGAUUGUCUGUGUAGGGUUUUUGCAUCUAUACACUCUUUUGUGUUUUAUCUUUCCAUUCUUUUUUUUUUUUUUGGUUUUGGUUGUUUGCUUUUUACUUGGAGAUACUGAUUUGUUUCCCUUUUUACUUUGUUACAGGUUGCUUUGACCUUCGAAGCCAUUGAUUCACCUAGCCUUGAGUGGGGAUCCAGGUUACGAAACCAAGGUGGUUGUGAGGAUAUGUCUUGAUGAUGAUAUUGACAUGUUCCUAGCAUUGUUGGUGAUGGAUGGUUCUUGCAUGAUAGAGUAAUUGUAUGACAAUUCAUUGGAACCCUCAUGAUGUUCAGGUAAUCAAUUUUUAACUGGUUUUCAGAACUUUUCCAAGAAGUUUUUUUUUCAAAAUGUCCCCCCUUGCUAUUGACAGGUGAUUUUGAGGCUAAUUAUUAAUAGAUUUUAAAUUUAUUAAGAGGCUGGUUUCUAGAAGUGUUUUUCAAUUUCUAGCUUUGGGAAAGUCAGUGAUUGGUGGGUAAUUGGACGAGUCCGCGAGUUUAGGUUAGUUGGUUUGAAUUGUUAUGAGUAGUUUACGAAAGUUAAUGCUAAUUUAAAAUGUAGAAAUCUGGAAGAAAUUCUGAGCUUUUUAUUGGGACUUGAUAUGUUAGA
rnacentral:lncRNA from 1 species